CUGAAACUGGCCACACGUGGCCGCGUGCCGUGCUCCGUAUGUCCACCUGUGGCCGCCUUCUCUUCUCCCAGCCCUGCGGGCGGACGUUCCGGCACCGAAUGCGCCCCGCUCAAACGAGGGCAGGUCCCCGCAGGACAAUCCCGCCCCCCCACGUCCCCACGAGAAGAGGCUAAUAACGGGUGCCCCAAGGUGCCUGUGUAAAGGAGGCGGCUUUCUGCCAGGCCCCUCUGGGAGGUCAUAGGGGUGCACGAGCUUGUGAUGGAAACAGCCCGUUCUCCACCGUGGAGGUCAGAGCCCGUUGGGGAGCUCCUUCCCUGCGCGUGUGAAAACCUGUGAGAAGACGCUGGUGGCAGCAGCUGUGGCUUCACAGAUUCCAGGACCAAGAGGGGCCGCAGGCUCCCGGGACGCUGGCAUUGGGGGCAGCUUCUACUUGAUCAUAAAAGUAUCACCUAGUACAGUCCAGAUCUUCCCCAAAUUAAUCUAAGCAAGUGUUCCGGGGACACAGCGAUCCCCGUGCAGGUUCCUGGUCUGCGCAAGACUGUGGCUGCUGUGCCCUCGGUUCUGAACACCGCUGUCCCCUCAAGAAUGGUCAUCACCUCCCUGCCACUCGCAAGGCGGGGUUCCUCACGUGCUUCUCCACCAUCUGGUGACUCAGCGGCUGAGCCUCCGCAGGAACACUGAUAAGAAUAGAGAAAACUGCAGCAUCCCAAAAGGUAAGGGUCCCUGGCACCCACCGAGAACCAUCACGGCGACGCGUGUGACAAGUGACCGGUCGUCUGGAACUGAGCCAGUCCUGCCCCGGCGCGUUAGCACCACAUAUAACUGCCUCCCACGGGGUCUGAGACAUGGGGGUCACAGCAGCACCCCAGAUGGAGUCUGUAAGGUUGUGAGCUCCAGCGUGUGAGAUGGAAAAUGCGCAUCUCAACGGCAGAUGAGACACAAAUGGGGGAAACAGCAGAAACUGUCCGGAGAGAAGCAGGGAACAGAGACUGAACAAUCAGCCAUCAGUGUCUGGGCCCACAGAGGGUCACCGUCCAUGGCGGGCCUGACUCAGGCGUGCACUGCCCCCCCAGGGGGCGGGGAUGGGCUUGGGAGCCGGUUCUGCAGCCCCAGACCCAGGCCUCAUGCACACAGGCCUCAAGGGGCCAGGACCAGACUGCUCAGGUUGGGGUGGGGCUGGGGGUUGGCCACAAAUCCUCCCCAUUUCCCCAAAAAGCCAAAUGUAAAGCCCAAAAAUGUAAAAUUUACCAGGACUGACUUAAAGUUGCUUGCCAAUAAAAUUAAUUUCUAUUA